rnacentral:lncRNA from 10 species
CAACAUCUAGACUGGUGUUUGACCAAACUACUGGGCACCAUACCCCAGCCAAGUCAGCAUAUAAUGUGAACCAUCACAGUGGGAGACAUGUCACAAAGUGGUAAGACAGCAAGAAUUGGUGGUCUGGGCUGGAUUCCAGAGAACCUGGACUGUGCCUAUGAAGCACCACUGCCCUGUAGACCUGGGAUAAUAAACACUGAUGCCUAAAGGGACCAGGCAGGUCUUGUCCCAUCUGUUCCAAGCUAUUUGUCCAUGUAAAACUGUCAACGUUCCAAGCCACUGACUGACAGGGUAAGAAGAGUGAGUCUCAAGAGAGUGAGGAACGGUGAAUCUUUGGCAGACUCUGUGUGUGCCCAUGGAAGAGACAGUGACAGAAAUUAUGUAAUGAAAAAAAUGUAGCACAAGCCUUAUGAAUUUUUACUUUUCACUCCAUGGGAUUCCCAUAUCAAAAGACCUAUUCUACACAAAAUAAAGUUCUCU